rnacentral:rRNA from 1 species
AAGACCUUGCGCUUUUGGAGCGGCCGAUGCCUGAUUAGCUAGUUGGUGGGGUAAAAGCCUACCAAGGCAACGAUCAGUAGUUGGUCUGAGAGGACGGCCAGCCACACUGGGACUGAGACACGGCCCAGACUCCUACGGGAGGCAGCAGUGGGGAAUUUUGGACAAUGGGCGCAAGCCUGAUCCAGCAAUGCCGCGUGAGUGAAGAAGGCCUUCGGGUUGUAAAGCUCUUUCAGUCGAGAAGAAAAGAUUGUGACGAAUAAUCACAAUUCAUGACGGUAUCGACAGAAGAAGCACCGGCUAACUACGUGCCAGCAGCCGCGGUAAUACGUAGGGUGCAAGCGUUAAUCGGAAUUACUGGGCGUAAAGGGUGCGCAGGCGGCUUUGUAAGUCAGAUGUGAAAUCCCCGGGCUUAACCUGGGAAUU